rnacentral:rRNA from 1 species
AUGCACGCUGACAGAAUGCUUAACACCUGCAAGUCAACUUGAAUUUGGGUUUUUAACUUAGGUUUGGGUGGCGGACGGGUGAGUAACGCGUAAAGAACUUGCCUCACAGUUAGGGACAACAUUUGGAAACGAAUGCUAAUACCUAAUAUUAUGAUAAUAGGGCAUCCUAUAAUUAUGAAAGCUAUAAGCGCUGUGAGAGAGCUUUGCGUCCCAUUAGCUAGUUGGAGAGGUAACGGCUCACCAAGGCGAUGAUGGGUAGCCGGCCUGAGAGGGUGAUCGGCCACAAGGGGACUGAGACACGGCCCUUACUCCUACGGGAGGCAGCAGUGGGGAAUAUUGGACAAUGGACCGAGAGUCUGAUCCAGCAAUUCUGUGUGCACGAUGAAGUUUUUCGGAAUGUAAAGUGCUUUCAGUUGGGAAGAAACAAAUGACGGUACCAACAGAAGAAGUGACGGCUAAAUACGUG